UUCUUUGGGCCUCAAAUCCUUCUUUGCAACAAGAAGUAGAAACUUGCCUCUUAGGAGUUUCAUGAUAAUAAAAUUGCAUCAUUAAUUUAAGGCAUUUAUUAUUACAGUUUUAAAUGUAUGAUCAAUAAAUGGUAGCUAUUAGGCUUCUGGUUAAGAAAGUAGGUAAUUUCUUACGUGUUUGGAUCAUUAUGUGUUAAUAUUCUGAUUUCAUUCUUAAGAACUGCUCCCUAACCUCCAUCCUUUAACAAUUGCAGGUGUUUCUCAUUUGGUAUUGGAGAAGGUGCCUCCACCAGCCUAAUAAAAACCUUGCUCAGGUUUCUGGGGGUCCCCCCUCCCUCCCUCCCUCCCUUCCUUCCUUCUUCCCUUCGUUCCUUCCUCCUCUGCCAUCCUUAGAGCUGAUUUUCUUCUUUUAAUUCUGGCUAAGUUGUUUCCCUACAAUCAUGUUUCCUUUUACACCACUCAAGUCUUAUCUCUCCACUUACCUUGAUUUUUCUAUCCUCUGCUAGCUCUAACUUUCAGGAGCGCUGUAUAAUACUGAAGUCUCUGGAAUCUCUGUCUUGUAGCCUCAUCAUUGACCACCUUGCUGCAAAAUCCCUGCUCCAGACCAAAGAGCUCAUCCAAUGGCAAUGUUCUCCAUUCAUCGUCCUCCUGCACGUCUGCCUGUGAAGAAAUUUCUUCUUGUGUGACCGAAGAGUACCAGCACAAUGAUAUCAAUCCCUGACUAAGCACAUCCCAAGCUACUAGUCAUAAAUCAAGGAACGCUUGCUUCUCUGUCAGCAGACAGGCCUCCUGUGAGAAGGGAAACACACAUUCUUCCACCAGCAUCCACACACAAAUAUCCCAAGCAGGUGAUGUGGGCCUCAGUUUGCUUCUAUGAAUAUGGGGACUGAAGAACUAAUCAUCAAGACUCUACUGUUAUGACUUUUCCUACACAGGGGAUAAUCUGUUGAAAAUAUCCCAUUCUAGAAGAAAUAACAUAAUAAUUUACUAACACUUGUGAAAAGAUACAAGGAUUGUAAGGAUUGUAAGAUUCAGUUGGAACUAGACAUGGCUAAUGUUUCCUUUGAUGUAGUUACCAUGUCAAUAAAUCAAGGGAAACAAGAGGGAUGGUGUAUUUG
rnacentral:lncRNA from 1 species